rnacentral:lncRNA from 1 species
GGGGAACGAAUGAACGAAGGGCUCCACGUGAGCAUGUAUCCUUUUAAUGAAUGUGUUAUCAUUAUUUUUAUACUGUAAAUGUUUUUUGGAUUAUUUGCUAUUCAAUGCUUAAAUGUUUUGGAUUUAAUUAUUUGAUUAUAUGUUUGGAACCUCACUGGACUUUUAGCUCAUUCCGUUAGUUUUGUUUUCCUUAUAGGAGAGGCGAGCAAGGGUGAGAGACCUGUAUAGAAUAGCAUAGUCUAGCUCUUUUGAAAUUCUUGCAUUUGUACUCGCUCUAGUGCUCCGUUAGGGUUGAAUGUAUUGGGAACUUAAAGCUUUUGUUACAUUUGGGUCUGUAUUACUGGUUGAGAUAGAAAUGAAUGUAAGUAUACGUUUCGAGUUUGGGAAUUGUUAUUUCACUUCCUCGAAGUUAUAUCUUGUUUUGUUUGAGGACUAUAGUGAGUCCCGGCAAGAGUUGGGCUGGCGGUCGCCGAACCCUUUGGUUCGCUGUAGGGAAAGGUGGGGUUGUCACAUAAUCCCCUUUAGGACAAAAUUACCCUUCAUUAUUUUGACUUUUCAUUUAUCUUUUUUCCUUUCAUCUUUUUUUUUUCCUUCCUUUAUUCCUUUUUCUCUCUUCCAUCCUUCCUAUUAGACAACUUCAUUUCAACAUAAAAACUUUGUCUAAAGUUUGUACUUAGGUGUAUGGAUGAAACUUGGAAAGGCAUUAAAAGCUAAUUUCAAUCUUUUAUACGAUGAUAUGUGUUGCAAAAUUACAAUUAAUGAUCAUUAUUCAGGUCGCAAAUUCAUCUUGUGAUUCUUUUUGAAAAUAAAAUGAGAAAUUGGGAUAGGAAGAAGAAAAAGCAAAAGAAUUAAAAAGAAAAAAAAGGUAUUUUGGGAGAGAUUUGAAUAUUUUGUGAUCAUUUGAGGGAAACGUAGAUCUUUGCAAUUCCUCUUUAGCUUCAAUCACUAAGUUGAAGUUUCUUGUGUGAAAGAGGAAAGU